CAGUAGCCGCGGGAAUACGUAGGGUGCGAGCGUUAAUCGGAAUUACUGGGCGUGAAGCGUGCGCAGGCUGUUUUGUAAGACAGGCGUGAAAUCCCCGGGCUCAACCUGGGAAUGGCGCUUGUGACUGCAAAGCUAGAGUGCGGCAGAGGGGGAUGGAAUUCCGCGUGUAGCAGUGAAAUGCGUAGAUAUGCGGAGGAACACCGAUGGCGAAGGCAAUCCCCUGGGCCUGCACUGACGCUCAUGCACGAAAGCGUGGGGAGCAAACAGGAUUAGAUACCCCCGUAGUCCCUGUCUCUUAUAC
rnacentral:rRNA from 1 species